rnacentral:lncRNA from 1 species
UAUUUUUGUUUCUACGUUGCUCGAUGCUGCUGCUGGCAGAGGAGUUUCCUCUGUUACUUGUCUUUGAAUAUUUUGGCUGAGGUCCCAUAUUAUUUGUGUUCCUGCGUUGGUCUGUGGUGGCUGAGGAGUCGCGUCUGCUGCCGUACUUGCACAGGUCGUGGCAGGAACCUAUUGAAGCUCUGAGAUAAUUCGGAAUGGGGAUUGGUUCACUGAAGAUUAGGGCUGCGCCACCGGUGGAGUUUCGACGUUGAAGGCCGCCGGAUUCCGGCUUGAUUUUCUUCGGUUUUGUUGCAGCAUCGAGCAUCGAUUUGGCCAUCGUAGAACAACAACAAAGCUGCAGACAGAAGAGAAGAAGAUAUUGAUUAAUUUUAGUGUUUGGAUCCUUAAAAUAUAACUAUGGAGCAAAUUUUUGUUCAUUGUUUUUCUUGUUUUUUUUUUUUGGUGAUUGCACCACGGUGAACUCGAACCCAGGACUUCAGGCCUUGGGCAUAGGCCAACACAUGUUCAUUGUUGUCUCUAUUGAAAUGAUGCGAGAAUGUAAAAUGAACCUCUUUAGUUUGAUUAAUUAACAAAUAAGUUUAAAUAUAAUGUGACGAUAGAUUCGAACUUGCAUGAUAGAUAUCAAACAGUACAAAAAUAUAUAUAAGUAUCAAUUCUAUUUUAGUUUCUAUUUUAAAGGAUAACAGAUUUCUGAAGGAAAACUAUGAUCCCCAAGAACAGGAUACAAAAUUACAUAUCCUUCAAAAACCCUUUUCAUUUAUAAUUAUAUAAAAUCUGUGAAUAAUGCAGAAUUUUCAUAUCACAUUUGAAUAAAGAAAAAGAAAAGGAAACAAAAAACUCUAUAAAGGAAACUGUAAAUUCUUACCUUUUUAAGAUCAAAGAAUUUGGAGAAAAUGGAAGGAGACGAUAAAAAGUUGUUUUACGUGAAAGGGAGACUGUAAAUUAUUAUGAAAAAGUUUUAUGGGAGAUUUAGGAUUGGGGUUAUUGCAAAAUGUGGGAUGGCAGCUCCAUAUUUUAUUGGAAAAGGAGAAAAA